AUGAAUUGUCCGUCGUUGGUAAAGAAUCCGGAUCGUCAAGUGGACAAGCCGGAGGUGAUACACGCUUGAAGGGUGCGCUUUAAAGUUUCUAGGUAAUACAUGUAUGGGGGAUGAUGAUCAAGCAAAAGCAAUCGAACCGAACACACCAAUCAACGCUUCCGCACUUGAUCUAUUUUGUUUUAUGAUUAUGUAAACACUUUUAGUUGUGUUAUGAAUGUUUGAUUGUAGAAUUUUAAGUU
rnacentral:lncRNA from 1 species